rnacentral:pre_miRNA from 1 species
GAGAGGAGGUCGGAUCCUGGGCUCUGUCCCCAGUGCCCUGUGCUCCCGGGCCUGCACUGAUGGAUUCGUGCUCCCAGCCACGCAGCCCCCU